UACGUAGGCAGCGAGCGUUGUUCGGAAUUACUGGGCGUAAAGAGUGUGUAGGCGGUGCUCCCAGUCUGUUGUGAAAUCUCCCGGCUUAACUGGGAGGGUGCAGCGGAAACUAGAGUGCUAGAGGGUGGGAGAGGAAAGCGGAAUUCCUGGUGUAGCGGUGAAAUGCGUAGAUAUCUGGAGGAACACCGGUGGCGAAGGCGGCAUUCUGGACCAUAACUGACACUGAGAGACGAAAGCCAGGGGAGCAAACGGG
rnacentral:rRNA from 1 species